AACGGCCGCGGUAUCCUAACCGUGCGAAGGUAGCGUAAUCACUUGUUCUUUAAAUGAGGACUAGUAUGAAUGGCACCACGAGGGUUAAGCUGUCUCCUUUUUCUAAUCAGUGAAACUAAUCUCCCCGUGAAGAAGCGGGGAUUAUACUAUAAGACGAGAAGACCCUAUGGAGCUUAAAACAAAUUAACACUUGCUUCUAUCCAUUUUUACUCCUGAACUAACACAUAAAAUAUAGCAUCGUUGAUUAAUAGUUUUCGAUUGGGGUGAUCAUGGAGUAAAAACCAACCUCCACGACGAAAAGGAACACUUCCCUGAGCUAAAAGCUACAACUUUAAGCACUAAAAAAUUAACGCACUUUGACCCAAAUUUUUGAGCAACGAACCAAGUUACCCUAGGGAUAACAGCGCAAUCCAUUUCAAGAGCCCCUAUCGACAAAUGGGUUUACGACCUCGAUGUUGGAUCAGGGUAUCCCAGUGGUGCAGCCGCUACUAAAGGUUCGUUUGUUCAACGAUUAAAACCCUACGUGAUCUGAGUUCAGACCGGAGAAAUCCAGGUCAGUUUCUAUCUAUAAAGGGCUUUUUCUAGUACGAAAGGACCGAAAAAGCAUGGCCAAUGAUCAAUUAAGCCAUAUAAAUUACUCAUGUUUUCAACUCAAUUAGAAACAAACCUACCAUAAACCUCAAAAAAAGAGAAGUUAACGUAGCAUAACCUGGCCCUGCAA
rnacentral:rRNA from 1 species